rnacentral:rRNA from 1 species
UACGUAGGGAGCAAGCGUUGUCCGGAAUCAUUGGGCGUAAAGCGCGCGUAGGUGGCCUCAUAAGUCCGCUGUGAAAGUCAAAGGCUCAACCUUUGAAAGCCGGUGGAUACUGUGAGGCUAGAGUACGGAAGAGGCGAGUGGAAUUCCUGGUGUAGCGGUGGAAUGCGCAGAUAUCAGGAGGAACACCAAUAGCGAAGGCAGCUCGCUGGGACGUGACUGACGCUGAGGCGCGAAAGCGUGGGGAGCAAACAGG